UACAGAGGGGGCAAGCGUUGUUCGGAAUUACUGGGCGUAAAGGGUGCGUAGGCGGGUUUUUAAGUCAGAGGUGAAAUCCUGGAGCUCAACUCCAGAACUGCCUUUGAUACUGAAAGUCUUGAGUAUGGGAGAGGUGAGUGGAACUGCGAGUGUAGAGGUGAAAUUCGUAGAUAUUCGCAAGAACACCAGUGGCGAAGGCGGCUCACUGGCCCAUUACUGACGCUGAGGCACGAAAGCGUGGGGAGCAAACAGG
rnacentral:rRNA from 1 species